AAGUCGUAACAAGGUCUCCGUUGGUGAACCAGCGGAGGGAUCAUUACAGAGUUGCAAAACUCCCAACCCUUUGUGAACGAACCUAUCAGUUGCUUCGGCGGCAGACUCCUCUGGAGCCUAGCCUUUACGGGUACCCCGCCGGAGUCCUACAAACUCUUGAUUUUUUGGCAUCUCUGAGUAGCUUAUAAAUAAGUUAAAACUUUCAACAACGGAUCUCUUGGUUCUG
rnacentral:misc_RNA from 1 species